GUAACACGUAGUCAACAUGCCCAGGGGACGUGGAUAACCUCGGGAAACUGAGGAUAAACCGCGAUAAGUCACUACUUCUGGAAUGGUAAUGACUCAAAUCUACAUGGCCCCUGGAUUGGACUGCGGCCGAUCAGGCUGUUGGUGAGGUAAUGGCCCACCAAACCUGUAACCGGUACGGGCUCUGAGAGGAGGAGCCCGGAGAUGGGCACUGAGACAAGGGCCCAGGCCCUAUGGGGCGCAGCAGGCGCGAAACCUCUGCAAUAGGCGAAAGCCUGACAGGGUUACUCUGAGUGAUUUCCGUUAAGGAGAUCUUUUGGCACCUCUAAAAAUGGUGCAGAAUAAGGGGUGGGCAAGUCUGGUGUCAGCCGCCGCGGUAAUACCAGCACCCCGAGUGGUCGGGACGUUUAUUGGGCCUAAAGCAUCCGUAGCCGGUUCUACAAGUCUUCCGUUAAAUCCACCUGCUUAACAGAUGGGCUGCGGAAGAUACUAUAGAGCU
rnacentral:rRNA from 1 species